rnacentral:rRNA from 1 species
GAUGAACGCUAGCGGCAGGCCUAAUACAUGCAAGUCGAACGAGAUUAAGGGGCUUGCUCCUUAUGAAAGUGGCGCACGGGUGCGUAACGCGUAUGCAACCUACCUCAAUCAGGGGGAUAGCCCGAAGAAAUUCGGAUUAACACCGCAUAAAAACACAGGAUAGCAUUAUCUAAUGUUCAAAUAUUUAUAGGAUUGAGAUG